AGUGAACGCUGGCGGCAGGCCUAACACAUGCAAGUCGAACGGCAGCACAGAGGAGCUUGCUCCUUGGGUGGCGAGUGGCGGAUGGGUGAGGAAUACAUCGGAAUCUGCCUAUUUGUGGGGGAUAACGUGGGGAAACUUGCGCUAAUACCGCAUACGACCUACGGGUGAAAGCGGAGGACCUUCGGGCUUCGCGCAGAUAGAUGAGCCGAUGUCGGAUUAGCUAGUUGGCGGGGUAAAGGCCCACCAAGGCGACGAUCCGUAGCUGGUCUGAGAGGAUGAGCAGCCACACUGGAACUGAGACACGGUCCAGACUCCUACGGGAGGCAGCAGUGGGGAAUAUUGGACAAUGGGCGCAAGCCUGAUCCAGCCAUGCCGCGUGGGUGAAGAAGGCCUUCGGGUUGUAAAGCCCUUUUGUUGGGAAAGAAAAGCAGCCGGUUAAUACCCGGUUGUUCUGACGGUACCCAAAGAAUAAGCACCGGCUAACUUCGUGCCAGCCGCCGCGGUAACAC
rnacentral:rRNA from 1 species